rnacentral:rRNA from 1 species
GAUGAACGCUAGCUACAGGCUUAACACAUGCAAGUCGAGGGACCGGCGCACGGGUGAGUAACACGUAUCCAACCUGCCCUUUACUCGGGGAUAGCCUUUCGAAAGAAAGAUUAAUACCCGAUAUAAAGGAUGGGGAUGCGUUAAAUUAGGUUGUUGGUGAGGUAACGGCUCACCAAGCCUUCGAUGGAUAGGGGUUGUGAGUUGAAGGUCCCCCACAAUUGAACUGCGACCCGGUCCAAACUCCUACGUGAGGCAGCAGUGAUGAAUAUUAGUCAAUGGGCGCUAGCCUGAACCAGCCAAGUAGAGGGAAUAAUGAAGGCUUAUGGGUCGUAAACUUCUUUUAUAUAAGAAUAUGUAUUAUAUGAAUAAGGAUCGGCUAACUCCGUGCCAGCAGCCGCGGUAAUAC